rnacentral:rRNA from 1 species
UGUAUAGGAGGUCUUGCCUGCCCAGUGACUACAAGUUAAACGGCCGCGGUAUUUUGACCGUGCAAAGGUAGCGCAAUCACUUGUCUUUUAAAUGAAGACCUGUAUGAAUGGUGGAACGAGGGCUUAACUGUCUCCCCCUUCAAGUCAAUGAAAUUGAUCUCCCCGUGCAGAAGCGGGCAUAAUUAUACAAGACGAGAAGACCCUUUGGAGCUUGAGAUGCAAGACCAACUAUGUUAAGAUCUUCGGUUGGGGCGACCACGGGAGACAAAAAAGCUCCCACGCAGACUGGGGGAAAAACUAAGAGAGACAUCUCUAAGUCGCAGAAUAUCUGACUAAUCUGCCGAUCAACGGACCAAGUUACCCUAGGGAUAACAGCGCAAUCCCCUUCCAGAGUCCAUAUCGACAAGGGGGUUUACGACCUCGAUGUUGGAUCAGGACAUCCUAAUGGUGCAGCCGCUAUUA